GAGUUUGAUUAUGGCUCAGGAUGAACGCUAGCGGGAGGCCUAACACAUGCAAGCCGAGCGGGAUUUGUUGGUUAGCUUGCUAACUAACAAUGAGAGCGGCGUACGGGUGCGUAACACGUGUGCAACCUGCCUUUAUCUGGGGGAUAGCCUUUCGAAAGGAAGAUUAAUACCCCAUAAUAUAUUGAUUGGCAUCAGUUAAUAUUGAAAGCUCCGGCGGAUAGAGAUGGGCACGCGUAAGAUUAGCUAGUUGGUGAGGUAACGGCUCACCAAGGCUGCGAUCUUUAGGGGGCCUGAGAGGGUGAUCCCCCACACUGGUACUGAGACACGGACCAGACUCCUAUGGGAGGCAGCAGUGAGGAAUAUUGGACAAUGGGUGAGAGCCUGAUCCAGCCAUCCCGCGUGAAGGACUAAGGACCUAUGGUUUGUAAACUUCUUUUAUACAGGGAUAAACCUACUCUCGUGAGGGUAGCUGAAGGUACUGUAUGAAUAAGC
rnacentral:rRNA from 1 species